rnacentral:rRNA from 1 species
ACGUAGGGUCCAAGCGUUAAUCGGAAUUACUGGGCGUAAAGCGUGCGUAGGCGGUUUUGCAAGUCCGAUGUGAAAUCCCCGGGCUUAACAUGGGAAUUGCAUAGGUGACUGGAAGGCUAGAGUGUGUCAGAGGGGAGUAGAAUUCCACGUGUAGCAGUGAAAUGCGUAAAUAUUUGGAGGAACACCGAUGGCGAAGGCUGCCGACUGGGAUACCACUGACGCUCAUGCACGAAAGCGUGGGGAGCAAACAG